AUGUUGAGAGUCGCUAUGAGAGAAGACUCGACAAGUGAGGAGGAAUACGUGGACGUGCUUCAGAUCCAGCAGCUUCUUCUGGACCCGCACCAGCCGCCGCCAGACAGCGCCCCUUUCGCCGCGCCGACCCCCGUUCCGUCGCCCUCUCCUACAAUGUCCACCCUCCGCCCGACGACUGGCUUUCACUUUGGCUCAAUCCUGCCAAUAACUCAGGUUCCUUGGAGGCCGAAGAGCUAUCGGAAGACAGCACCCAGAUCAAAGAGGAGAGCCCAGUCGAAGAAUUCCGGCUGAAAACAGAAGUUGUCCGCGAGAGCCCACCACCCGGCCGGGCGGAGGAGGAGGAAG
rnacentral:lncRNA from 1 species